AACGAACGCUGGCGGCAUGCCUAACACAUGCAAGUCGAACGAGACCUUCGGGUCUAGUGGCGCACGGGUGCGUAACGCGUGGGAACCUGCCCUUAGGUUCGGAAUAACUCCCCGAAAGGGGUGCUAAUACCGGAUAAUGUCUUCGGACCAAAGAUUUAUCGCCUUUGGAUGGGCCCGCGUUGGAUUAGCUAGUUGGUAGGGUAAAAGCCUACCAAGGCGACGAUCCAUAGCUGGUCUGAGAGGAUGAUCAGCCACACUGGGACUGAGACACGGCCCAGACUCCUACGUGAGGAAGCAGUGGGGAAUAUUGGACAAUGGGCGAAAGCCUGCUCCAGCAAUGCCGCGUGAGUGAUGAAGGCCUUAGGGUUGUAAAGCUCUUUUACCCGGGAUGAUAAUGACAGUACCGGGAGAAUAAGCUCCGGCUAACUCCGUG
rnacentral:rRNA from 1 species